rfam:Oryza nivara chromosome 5, whole genome shotgun sequence.
UCUGGUUUCCGUGUCCAACAUUUGACCAUCCGUCUUAUUUGAAAAAAUUAUAAAAAAAAUUAAAAAGAUAAAUCACGUAUAAAAUAUUAAUCAUGUUUUAUUAUCUAACAACAAUGAAAAUACUAAUUAUAAAAAAAUUUCAUAUAAGACGGACAGUUAAACGUUAGCAUGGAAAUAUAAGGUUUGUCUUUUU